GAUGAACGCUAGCUGCAGGCCUAAUACAUGCAAGUCGAACGAGAUUGAGGAGCUUGCUCCUCAUGAAAGUGGCGCACGGGUGCGUAACGCGUAUGCAAUCUACCUUAAUCAGGGGGAUAGCCCGGAGAAAUCCGGAUUAAUACCGCAUAACGUUAUUUUAUGGCAUCAUAGAAUAACCAAACAUUUAUGGGAUUAAGAUGAGCAUGCGUGACAUUAGUUAGUUGGUGAGGUAACGGCUCACCAAGACUACGAUGUCUAGGGGAUCUGAGAGGAUGACCCCCCACACUGGUACUGAGACACGGACCAGACUCCUACGGGAGGCAGCAGUAAGGAAUAUUGGUCAAUGGGCGCAAGCCUGAACCAGCCAUGCCGCGUGCAGGAAGACGGCCCUAUGGGUUGUAAACUGCUUUUAUUCGGGAAUAAACCUCUUUACGUGUAAGGAGCUGAAUGUACCGAAGGAAUAAGGAUCGGCUAACUCCGUGCC
rnacentral:rRNA from 1 species